AUGAAUUAUCGAAGAAAAACAAAUCAAAGAAAGAUGAUAUGAAACCUUCAGAAGAGAAAUCCACAUUACACAUUAAAGAUGCAUAUGACUAUCAAGGAAGAUCAUAUCUUCACAUUCCACAAGAUCUUGGCAUUAAUCUCAAGUCAGAUACUCCUCCAGAACGUUGCUUUCUACCAAAACAACAUAUUCAUACGUGUUCAUCCUUCUACCGUCGUGAUAAAAGAAAGCAAUGGAGAUAUUCUUACUUAUGUAUUAUUGUAUUAUUUUAUCUUUCUCUUAGGUCUGGUCACACUAAAGGUGUUUCUGCAAUAAGAUUCUUUCCGAAAUCUGCUCAUCUUCUUCUGUCGUGUAGCAUGGAUUGUAAAAUUAAGAAACUGCAAGAUGAUAUUCAUGUAAGCGCCAACGGCUCUGUUUUUGUAAAAUCUAACAUAAGAGAAGGAAUUUUACCCAGAAUGUUAGAGGAGAUAUUAGACACACGUAUUAUGGUAAAGAAAGCUAUGAAAGAUUGUGAAGAUGAUAAAACUCUUCUUCAACUUCUUGAUGCUCGACAACUUGCUUUAAAGUUGAUUGCAAAUGUCACUUAUGGUUACACAUCAAACUUCUCAGGACGAAUGCCUUGUGUUGAGAUUGCUGACGCCAUUGUUCGUAAAGCACGCGAGACCCUGGAACGAGCUAUCAAUCUCGUGAACACAAGGGAUGAGUGGGGUGCUCGUGUGGUAUAUGGGGACACCGAUAGUCUUUUCGUAUUAGUAAAAGGUGCCAGUAAAGAGGAAGGGUUUAAGAUUGAAAAAAUUGUUGAUGCUGCUACUGCAGAGAAUCCUAAACCUGUGAAACUAAAGUUUGAAAAGGGAUGAUUUUUAGGUAUAUAUGUCUUGUGUUCUUCAGACAAAGAAACGUUACGUUGGUUAUAUGUACGAAACAUUAGAACAGAAAGAUCCAGUGUUUGAUGCGAAAAGAAUAGAGGCUGUACGGCGAAAUACAUGUCCAGCGGUCGCUAGGACGUGAACAUUUUCUGUUAAUGCGAUCGAGAAACAUAGAACAAAUGUUUGUGGUUUCAAUUCACCAUGAUGAAGGACUUAUAUAAAUAAAGAAAUUGAUUAUUGACCACGAUGAAAACGUAUUUGGCUUUUGUUCACCAUUCCCUUGAGGCUGAGCUAUUUAGGAAUUGAUAUUCUACAUCGUCUGAACUGCUUUAUAACUGAGGAAAUAUGAAGAUGAUCACGAUUCUUGUCUCGACAAUUGAUCGAAAGACAAGUCACUUUUAACCAACGAUUUAUGAUGGUAAGAUUUUUACAGCAACAAAAUAAACUUAUGAGAAAGUUAUGUUUUUCUCAGGUAUUUAAAUUAGCUAUUGUAACUUUACACAAUUUCAUUUUUUUACAAAUGAAUAAAAUUACGCCAACUUGAUUAGUACAAUCUAGUACAACUUAAUUAACAGCGGGUAAAACCGUGCUCUAUGCUUUUA